UGGGGAAUCUUGGACAAUGGGGGCAACCCUGAUCCAGCCAUGCCGCGUGAGUGAUGAAGGCCUUAGGGUCGUAAAGCUCUUUCGCCUGUGAAGAUAAUGACGGUAGCAGGUAAAGAAACCCCGGCUAACUCCGUGCCAGCAGCCGCGGUAAUACGGAGGGGGUUAGCGUUGUUCGGAAUUACUGGGCGUAAAGCGCACGUAGGCGGACCAGAAAGUUGGGGGUGAAAUCCCGGGGGCUCAACCCCGGAACUGCCUCCAAAACUAUUGGUCUAGAGUUCGAGAGAGGUGAGUGGAAUUCCAAGUGUAGAGGUGAAAUUCGUAGAUAUUUGGAGGAACACCAGUGGCGAAGGCGGCUCACUGGCUCGAUACUGACGCUGAGGUGCGAAAAGUGUGGGGAGCAAACAGGAUUAGAUACCCUGGUAGUCCACACCGUAAAACGAUGAAUGCCAGUCGUCGGGUAGCAUGCUAUUCGGUGACACACCUAACGGAUUAAGCAUUCCGCUGGGGAGUACGGUCGCAAGAUUAAAACUCAAAAUGAAUU
rnacentral:rRNA from 1 species